ACGAACGCUGGCGGCAUGCCUAACACAUGCAAGUCGAACGCGACCUUCGGGUCUAGUGGCGCACGGGUGCGUAACGCGUGGGAACCUGCCCUUAGGUUCGGAAUAACUCCCCGAAAGGGGUGCUAAUACCGGAUAAUGUCUUCGGACCAAAGAUUUAUCGCCUUUGGAUGGGCCCGCGUUGGAUUAGCUAGUUGGUAGGGUAAAAGCCUACCAAGGCGACGAUCCAUAGCUGGUCUGAGAGGAUGAUCAGCCACACUGAGACUGAGACACGGCCCAGACUCCUACGGGAGGCAGCAGUGGGGAAUAUUGGACAAUGGGCGAAAGCCUGAUCCAGCAAUGCCGCGUGAGUGAUGAAGGCCUUAGGGUUGUAAAGCUCUUUUACCCGGGAUGAUAAUGACAGUACCGGGAGAAUAAGCUCCGGCUAACUCCGUG
rnacentral:rRNA from 1 species